CAACCCUCAAGCUCUGCUUGGUAUUGGGCGUCGCCGGCCUCGCCGGCGUGCCUCAAAGACAUCGGCGACGGUGUCCUGGCUUCAAGCGUGGUAAAUUAUCAUUCGCUUUGGAGGCUGGAGCAUCGUCCGCCGGCAAAACCGGGCUCGCGCCCACUUUCUCA
rnacentral:misc_RNA from 1 species